rnacentral:misc_RNA from 1 species
AAGUCGUAACAAGGUUUCCGUAGGUGAACCUGCGGAAGGAUCAUUAAAGAUUCGGGCUUCGGCCUAACCUCUUCAGCUGUGCGCUUUGGCUGCACGCUGUCGAAACCUCUCACACCUGUGCACCUUUUCGGUUGCGGCGUUCGCGUCGCUUCCGCUUUACACAUUUUACUACAAAAGUCCAGAAUGUCAAAACUAUAAACAUAAUACAACUUUCAACAACGGAUCUCUUGGCUCUC